CUCUCUCAGAGGCGCCGUGCCAAACACGCAUGCGUAAAGUGCUUCGGCAGCGAGUCCCUCGGUCAAACUAUUUUCUCGUUUUCAUUUUUAAGGAAUCGGCGAAAGUGUAAUUGAAGAAGAAAUGUGACGGAUCGAUAAAAGCCCUCAGGUCCCGCGGCGGAGGACCUCGGAGCGGGGACACGGAGCGGGAGGAGCGGGGAGGCGUGGCGCUGUCAGGUUAUCACAUGACCCCGAGGACCGGAGAGUGGUCGCGGAAGAGGAACAGUUCUCCUCCGAAGUCGAAAAGUACAGAAUCUGAUGUUCAUCUUCUGAGCGGAUCUCUGUGAGGCUGCUGACUGUCUGACUGUUCCACUGUUUCCUCUUCCUGUUGGCAGUAGAUCCCAAGCCUUAUAUGGAGUUGUUUAUCUCUCUCUCUCCCUCCUUAAAAACUGCCGUUUAAUGGCUGUUUUUAAAGAGGGAGAGAGAUUGGUGGUUUGUUUCCUGUCCGUCUGUCCAAAGCUACGCUAGGCCUAGACAUCAUCAGUGUUGUAUAUACAUACUGGUUUAAAUAUAUUUAAAACCAGUAUGUAUCAGUCAAACUUUCUACUUUUCAUUCCAAUGCUAUAUAGCUCUGUUCUAAAGAACCCAUUGUCAACUAAGUUACUUACACCCAAUAAAAGCAUUAUGCGUGAAUAAAACCCAUAAAA